rnacentral:lncRNA from 13 species
GCUUGAAAUAGAAAAGCUAAUGCAGCUAUCAACUUCCGCUGUGCCUUGUUUCCUUAAAAUCUAGCUGGGAAAUCUUGUUACAGAAAGGAGGAAGAUCACGUAAAAUGGAAGGGAAACUGGUGCAAAGCUUUCAGGUGUCAGAAAACGCCUCAGAGCACAGAAGACAGGAAGAGCUCCCUGUUGCAUAUAUUGCGUCUUCUGUUGGGCACAAUUUCAUUGAUGUUAUCUGUAAGCAGAAAGGGUGAAACCUGAUGACUCAGCCAACCCUCCAGAUCCUGAGAGUCACCUGUGCUGCUGGAAGUAGGAAGUGUCACUCCCAUUUCACUCCCCACAGCUGUGUUGUUGGGAAUUGCUCAAGAUUUUAUUUUUGAUGAUCAACUUUGGGAGAUAAAAUGAAAACAAAUGAGGCCAGGUAUGGUGGCUUACGGCUGUAAUCCUAGCAUUUUGGGAGGCUAAGGUGGGUGGAUUACCCGAGGACAGGAGUUCAAGACCAGCCUGGCCAAUAUGGUGAAACUCUGUCUCUAUUAAAAAAUACAAAAAUUAGCCAGAUGUGGUGGUAGGCACCCAAACCUAGCUACUUGGGAGGCUCAGACAGGAGAAUGGCUUGAGUCCAGGAGGCAGAGGUUACAGUGAGCUGAGAUUAUGCCACUGCACUCCAGCCUGGACAACAGAGUGAGACCCCAUUUCAGAGAAAAAAAAGGAACAAAUACCAAAUUGGUGAAUAUUUCAGUGCGGUAUUAAGAUAGAAAAAAUAAUGUGUGCACUUACACUAUUUAUUAACUACAGAAUAUUUUAAUUUUAUCUAUAAUUAAGUAUUGUCUCUGUAUCUAUGAGAAAGCAAUUUUGUCAAUCAGGAUCAAGUCUGAACUUCCAAUGAAAUAGUUGUACGAAUAAGUAGUUCAAGAAGCAAUAAUUUCUCACUAUCAGACAUAUAUUAGAUAUAAAAACUUCGGUGGAGGUAAACCAGAUAGAUGUGACAUUUGUUUCUUAUUGCUGCUAAAAUAGACUG